AUUGAACGCUGGCGGAAUGCUUUACACAUGCAAGUCGAACGGCAGCACGGACUUCGGUCUGGUGGCGAGUGGCGAACGGGUGAGUAACAUAUCGGAACGUAUCCAAUAAUGGGGGAUAACGAGUCGAAAGAUUCGCUAAUACCGCAUACGCCCUACGGGGGAAAGCUGGGGACCUUCGGGCCUGGCGUUAAUGGAGCGGCCGAUAUCUGAUUAGCUAGUUGGUGAGGUAAAGGCUCACCAAGGCGACGAUCAGUAGCUGGUCUGAGAGGACGACCAGCCACACUGGAACGGAGACACGGUCCAGACUCCUACGGGAGGCAGCAGUGGGGAAUUUUGGACAAUGGGCGCAAGCCUGAGCCAGCCAUGCCGCGUGAGUGAAGAAGGCCUUCGGGUUGUAAAGCUCUUUCGCAAGGGAAGAAAACUUAGCCACUAACAUUGGUUGAGGUUGACGGUACCUUGAUAAGAAGCACCGGCUAACUACGUGCCAGCAGCCGCCGUAA
rnacentral:rRNA from 1 species